UACGAAGGGGGCUAGCGUUGUUCGGAAUUACUGGGCGUAAAGCGCGCGUAGGCGGUGAUCUUUGUCAGAGGUGAAAUCCCGAGGCUCAACUUCGGAAUUGCCUUUGAAACGGGAUCGCUUGAGUCCGAGAGAGGAUGGCGGAAUUCCUAGUGUAGAGGUGAAAUUCGUAGAUAUUCGGAGGAACACCAGUGGCGAAGGCGGCUCACUGGCUCGAUACUGACGCUGAGGUGCGAAAGCGUGGGGAGCAAACAGG
rnacentral:rRNA from 1 species